AAAGUUGAAUUGAAUAAAUAAAAAAUACAGAACAUUGAAUAUGGUAUAUGAUUUACUCACCGCACCAUAAACAUUUAUUGUUACUUUCCCGUUUGCUUGAAUCCUAGCUACAAAAGGUAAUGAUUAAAGGUAAUCACCGCUAUAAUAAAAACAAGAGCAUUAUAAAGUUGUUUCAGAUUGACGAAUUGGGUCUUGAACUUAACUUAAAACACUAUGUAAAUGCGUUUCGAUGCAUCUGUGUUGUCUCAAAAGUAGUUCGAACAAUUAGACGCUGAACUUAUCUACGAUUAAUUAUUUGAAAGCUCACACUCAACAAUACCAACUGUAUUUUAGUUUGUUGCGCUAAAUAUUUUUUGUUUAAUGUGCUAA